rnacentral:rRNA from 1 species
ACGAAGGGGGCUAGCGUUGCUCGGAAUUACUGGGCGUAAAGGGAGCGUAGGCGGACAUUUAAGUCAGGGGUGAAAUCCCGGGGCUCAACCUCGGAAUUGCCUUUGAUACUGGGUGUCUUGAGUAUGAGAGAGGUGUGUGGAACUCCGAGUGUAGAGGUGAAAUUCGUAGAUAUUCGGAAGAACACCAGUGGCGAAGGCGACACACUGGCUCAUUACUGACGCUGAGGCUCGAAAGCGUGGGGAGCAAACAG